UCCCUUUGUCUUUUGCUACUAUGAGCAAA
rnacentral:piRNA from 1 species